rnacentral:rRNA from 1 species
ACGCUAGCUACAGGCUUAACACAUGCAAGUCGAGGGGAAACGGCAUUGAGUGCUUGCACUCUUUGGACGUCGACCGGCGCACGGGUGAGUAACGCGUAUCCAACCUUCCCAUUACUGUGGGAUAACCUGCCGAAAGGCAGACUAAUACCGCAUAGUCUUCGAUGACGGCAUCAGAUUUGAAGUAAAGAUUUAUCGGUAAUGGAUGGGGAUGCGUCUGAUUAGCUUGUUGGCGGGGUAACGGCCCACCAAGGCGACGAUCAGUAGGGGUUCUGAGAGGAAGGUCCCCCACAUUGGAACUGAGACACGGUCCAAACUCCUACGGGAGGCAGCAGUGAGGAAUAUUGGUCAAUGGACGGAAGUCUGAACCAGCCAAGUAGCGUGCAGGAUGACGGCCCUAUGGGUUGUAAACUGCUUUUGUAUGGGGAUAAAGUUAGGGACGUGUCCCUAUUUGCAGGUACCAUACGAAUAAGGACCGGCUAAUUCCGUGCCAGCAGCCGCGGUAAUACGGAAGGUCCAGGCGUUAUCCGGAUUUAUUGGGUUUAAAGGGAGCGUAGGCAGGAGAUUAAGUGUGUUGUGAAAUGUAGACGCUCAACGUCUGAAUUGCAGCGCAUACUGGUUUCCUUGAGUACGCACAACGUUGGCGGAAUUCGUCGUGUAGCGGUGAAAUGCUUAGAUAUGACGAAGAACUCCGAUUGCGAAGGCAGCUGACGGGAGCGCAACUGACGCUUAAGCUCGAAGGUGCGGGUAUCAAACAGGAUUAGAUACCCUGGUAGUCCGCACAGUAAACGAUGGAUGCCCGCUGUUGGUACCUGGUAUCAGCGGCUAAGCGAAAGCAUUAAGCAUCCCACCUGGGGAGUACGCCGGCAACGGUGAAACUCAAAGGAAUUGACGGGGGCCCGCACAAGCGGAG